rnacentral:tRNA from 1 species
CCCCGGCAGAAACUACUCUGCUUCUUUGGAUUUGCAAUCCAACAUGUGAC